AUACUUACCUGGUGCUGGGGCUACCUUGAUCAGCCAGGAGCUGCCUCCAGGUAGAGUGUGGCCAGUGCACCUCAGCUGUGGUGACCCUUGCCAUUAUCUCAAACUGGGAGAGAUUGGGCAUGCAAUUCUUGGUAGUGGAAGUCUGCAUUCACGCUGUCCCUCC